rnacentral:tRNA from 1 species
ACCUAGAUAGCUCAGUUGGUUAGAGUAUGGUGCUGAUAAUGCCAAGGUUGCAGGUUCGAUCCCCGUUUGGGACA